CCACUGUUUUUCAAUCUCCAGUAGAGAGUGUCAAACCCAGCACCAAGGUUUAUUAUUUGACAGUUUGAUCCAGUUUUCUACAAAAACAUAAAAUUAAAAUCAAUUAACACUCUUUUGAAAUCUUGAAGAAUAAAUAAGAAAAAUACCUUGAGAAAUUUGUCCAUGAACAUGGCGACACCUUUAGUUCGAGCGUAAUAUCCUCGAUUAAUCUCUGGUGUCUUACGUUCAUAGCCGGUAACAA